rnacentral:rRNA from 1 species
UACGGAGGGUGCGAGCGUUAAUCGGAAUUACUGGGCGUAAAGCGCAUGCAGGUGGUUUGUUAAGUCAGAUGUGAAAGCCCGGGGCUCAACCUCGGAGUUGCAUUUGAAACUGGCAGGCUAGAGUACUGUAGAGGGGGGUAGAAUUUCGGGUGUAGCGGUGAAAUGCGUAGAGAUCUGAAGGAAUACCGGUGGCGAAGGCGGCCCCCUGGACAGAUACUGACACUCAGAUGCGAAAGCGUGGGGAGCAAACAGG